GACGAACGCUGGCGGCGUGCUUAACACAUGCAAGUCGAACGAUGAAGCUGGAGCUUGCUCCAGUGGAUUAGUGGCGAACGGGUGAGUAACACGUGAGCAAUCUGCCCUUGACUCUGGGAUAACUGCGGGAAACUGUAGCUAAUACCGGAUACGACACCUUGGGGCAUCCCAGGGUGUGGAAAGAAUUUCGGUCAAGGAUGAGCUCGCGGCCUAUCAGCUAGUUGGUGAGGUAAUGGCUCACCAAGGCGACGACGGGUAGCCGGCCUGAGAGGGUGACCGGCCACACUGGAACUGAGAUACGGUCCAGACUCCUACGGGAGGCAGCAGUGGGGAAUAUUGCACAAUGGGCGCAAGCCUGAUGCAGCAACGCCGCGUG
rnacentral:rRNA from 1 species